UCCUAAUUCACCAUGAUCUCCAGCCACCAUCAUUUUCAUAGUAGCAAGAUACGGCCACUAUCAUUUUCUUUGUAGCAAGAUACAGCCACCAUCAUUUCUAUGAUAGUCAAAUUCUGUUAUUUCCUUCCAUUUACUGAAUUUAUCUUAUGUUCCCUCUCUUAUCUAUAUAAAGGGAGGCAACCUAUGUAUUCAAUUCAGAUUUCAAUGAAUAAAAAUGAGUGUU
rnacentral:lncRNA from 1 species